rnacentral:rRNA from 1 species
UACGAAGGGGGCUAGCGUUGCUCGGAAUCACUGGGCGUAAAGGGUGCGUAGGCGGGUCUUUUAAGUCAGGGGUGAAAUCCUGGAGCUCAACUCCAGAACUGCCUUUGAUACUGAGGAGUCUUGAGUUCCGGGAGAGGUGAGUGGAACUGCGAGUGUAGAGGUGAAAUUCGUAGAUAUUCGCAAGAACACCAGUGGCGAAGGCGGCUCACUGGCCCGGUACUGACGCUGAGGUGCGAAAGCGUGGG